UGGGGAAUAUUGGACAAUGGGGGAAACCCUGAUCCAGCGACGCCGCGUGUGUGAAGAAGGCCUGCGGGUUGUAAAGCACUUUCGGUGGGAACGAAAUAUGCCGGGCUAAUACCCCGGUAGGCUGACGUUACUCAAUGAAGAAGCACCGGCUAACUCUGUGCCAGCAGCCGCGGUAAUACAGAGGGUGCGAGCGUUAAUCGGAAUUACUGGGCGUAAAGCGCACGUAGGCGGAUUUGUUAGUCAGGGGUGAAAUCCCGGGGCUCAACCUUGGAACUGCCUCUGAUACUGCAAAUCUCGAGUCCGAUAGAGGUGAGUGGAAUUCGUAGUGUAGAGGUGAAAUUCGUAGAUAUUAGGAAGAACACCAGUGGCGAAGGCGGCUCACUGGAUCGGUACUGACGCUGAGGUGCGAAAGCGUGGGGAGCAAACAGGAUUAGAUACCCGUGUAGUCCCUGAGCGGGCUGGCAAGGCGCAU
rnacentral:rRNA from 1 species